UCCAGACUCCUACGGGAGGCAGCAGUGAGGAAUAUUGGUCAAUGGUCGGGAGACUGAACCAGCCAAGCCGCGUGAGGGAUGAAGGUACAGAGUAUCGUAAACCUCUUUUGUCAGGGAACAAAGGCGGGGACGUGUCCCCGGAUGAGUGUACCUGAAGAAAAAGCAUCGGCUAACUCCGUGCCAGCAGCCGCGGUAAUACGUAGGUGGCAAGCGUUGUCCGGAAUUACUGGGUGUAAAGGGAGCGUAGGCGGGAAGCCAAGUCAGCUGUGAAAACUACGGGCUUAACCUGUAGACUGCAGUUGAAACUGGCUUUCUUGAGUGAAGUAGAGGUUGGCGGAAUUCCGAGUGUAGCGGUGAAAUGCGUAGAUAUUCGGAGGAACACCGGUGGCGAAGGCGGCCAACUGGGCUUUAACUGACGCUGAGGCUCGAAAGUGUGGGGAGCAAACAGGAUUAGAUACCCUGGUA
rnacentral:rRNA from 1 species